rnacentral:rRNA from 1 species
CCGAGUGAAGUGGGAAGAGCUCAACUUUGUAAUCUGGCUGCUUCGCAGUCCGAGUUGUAGUCUAAAGAAGCAUGAUCCGCGCCGGACCUUGGGCAUGUCUGUUGGAAAGCAGUGUCAAAGAGGGUGAUAAUCCCGUACAUACCAAGGACGACCGUGUGCAUUGUGGUCUGCUCUCUAAGAGUCGAGUUGUUUGGGAAUGCAGCUCUAAUUGGGUGGUAAAUUCCAUCUAAAGCUAAAUAUCGACGAGAGACCGAUAGCGAACAAGUACAGUAAUGGAAAGAUGAAAAGUAGCCUGCAGAGGCAAUGAAACAAUACGUGAAACCGUUUGUAGGGAAGCGAUGGAACCUUUUCACGCUGCGAGGGUUCAGCCUUUCUUCGGAUUGGUGUAUUCCCUCGUUUUGCGGACCAGCAUCAGUUUGCUUGGCAGUAUAAGGGUGUUUGGAACGUGGCUCCCACGGGAGUGUUAUAGCCUUUCACUGGAUGCUGCCUCGCAGACUGAGGACUGCAGUGCGCCAUUAUGGCAUAGUCUUCGGGCUACGAGCACUUAGGAUGCUGGGCGAAUGGGUUUCAACGACCCGUCUAACCCGACAACCACA